UGAGAUGAUAGGUUAGCUUCCUUCCGUG
rnacentral:piRNA from 1 species